CCUACGGGCGGCAGCAGUGAGGAAUAUUGGUCAAUGGACGGGAGUCUGAACCAGCCAAGUCGCGUGAAGGAUGACUGCCCUACGGGUUGUAAACCUCUUUUGUAUGGGAAUAAAAUGUUCCACGUGUGGGCUUUUGUAUGUACCAUAUGAAUAAGGAUCGGCUAACUCCGUGCCAGCAGCCGCGGUAAUACGGAGGAUCCGAGCGUUAUCCGGAUUUAUUGGGUUUAAAGGGUGCGUAGGUGGAUUGUUAAGUCAGUUGUGAAAGUUUGCGGCUCAACCGUGAAAGUGCAGUUGAAACUGGCAGUCUUGAGUACAGUAGAGGUAGGCGGAAUGCGUGGUGUAGCGGUGAAAUGCUUAGAGAUCACGAAGAACUCCGAUUGCGAAGGCAGCUCACUGGACUGCAACUGACACUGAGGCACGAAAGUGUGGGUAUCAAACAGGAUUAGAUACCCGGGUAGUC
rnacentral:rRNA from 1 species